GAUGAACGCUGGCGGCGUGCCUAACACAUGCAAGUCGAGCGAAGCCUUCGGGCUUAGCGGCGGACGGGUGAGUAACGCGUGGGAACGUGCCCUUUGGUACGGAAUAGCCCCGGGAAACUGGGAGUAAUACCGUAUGUGGUCGAGAGACGAAAGAUUUAUCGCCAAAGGAUCGGCCCGCGUUGGAUUAGGUAGUUGGUGGGGUAAUGGCCUACCAAGCCGACGAUCCAUAGCUGGUUUGAGAGGAUGGUCAGCCACACUGGGACUGAGAAACGGCCCGGACUCCUACGGGAGGCAGCAGUGGGGAAUCUUAGACAAUGGGGGAAACCCUGAUCUAGCCAUGCCGCGUGAUCGAUGAAGGCCUUAGGGUUGUAAAGAUCUUUCAGUGGGGAAGAUAAUGACUGUACCCACAGAAGAAGCCCCGGCUAACUCCGUGCCAGCCGCCGCAGUAAAAC
rnacentral:rRNA from 1 species